rnacentral:rRNA from 1 species
GAUGAACGCUGGCGGCGUGCCUAAUACAUGCAAGUCGAGCGAACAGACGAGGAGCUUGCUCCUCUGACGUUAGCGGCGGACAGGUGAGUAACACGUGGAUAACCUACCUAUAAGACUGGGAUAACUUCGGGAAACCGGAGCUAAUACCGGAUAACAUGUUGAACCGCAUGGUUCAACAGUGAAAGACGGUCUUGCUGUCACUUAUAGAUGGAUCCGCGCCGCAUUAGCUAGUUGGUAAGGUAACGGCUUACCAAGGCAACGAUGCGUAGCCGACCUGAGAGGGUGAUCGGCCACACUGGAACUGAGACACGGUCCAGACUCCUACGGGAGGCAGCAGUAGGGAAUCUUCCGCAAUGGGCGAAAGCCUGACGGAGCAACGCCGCGUGAGUGAAGAAGGUCUUCGGAUCGUAAAACUCUGUUAUUAGGGAAGAACAAAUGUGUAAGUAACUAUGCACGUCUUGACGGUACCUAAUCAGAAAGCCACGGCUAACUACGU